rnacentral:rRNA from 1 species
AAGAAGGAUCUCCACACUAUCUUUGUACUAACUAUGUGGGAGUUUUGGAAGCAUCGGAAUGCUAUUGUGUUCGACAGAGCCUCGCCCUCGAUGAGUGAGCUCCUAGGUAGGAUCAGGUCUGAAGGAAGGUUAUGGUCGAUAGCUGGCAAGUUUAAAGGGAACAUGGACCCCUUCUUCCUUAGACUAGACCGGUGGACGAGUAGUGAGGAGUAG